rnacentral:rRNA from 1 species
CCUACGGGACGCACCAGUGGGGAAUAUUGCACAAUGGGCGCAAGCCUGAUGCAGCCAUGCCGCGCGUAUGAAGAAGGCCUUCGGGUUGUAAAGCACUUCCAGCGGGGAGGAAGGUGUUGUGGUUAAUAACCACAACAAUUGACGUUACCCGCAGAAGAAGCACCGGCUAACUCCGUGCCAGCAGCCGCGGUAAUACGGAGGGUGCAAGCGUUAAUCGGAAUUACUGGGCGUAAAGCGCACGCAGGCGGUCUGUCAAGUCGGAUGUGAAAUCCCCGGGCUCAACCUGGGAACUGCAUUCGAAGCUGGCAGGCUAGAGUCUUGUAGAGGGGGGUAGAAUUCCAGGUGUAGCGGUGAAAUGCGUCGAGAUCUGGAGGAAUACCGGUGGCGAAGGCGGCCCCCUGGACAAAGACUGACGCUCAGGUGCGAAAGCGUGGGGAGCAAACAGGAUUAGAUACCCUCGUAGUC